rnacentral:lncRNA from 1 species
CGGAUCCAUCAAUAUUGCUUGAGGAUGCAACCAUUGGAAUCCAGCAAUGAAUUUCUCAGUCGGUCAGAAUUAUUAGGUCUAUUUCAGUCACUUUUAAAUUGAGUGUGAGAAGGAGACAACGGGAGAUUUGUCGUGUGUAAAGUGUUCGGCUCAUCGGAAUCGCUUGUCUCCUUUCGGAUUUGGCUCUGGAAUUAAAGGUUUUUAUUUACUUUUGUUGUAUUGUCGCACUCUUGUUUUAGAUGGGUUAUCAGAUUGCUUAUUUUUAAGGAUGGCUUCGUAAUGGGUGUUCUAUUUGCUCUUUGUUUGAUCGAGUGGUUCUUCGUCUCUGAAUAAUGUGGAACACGCUUUGAUUAUGCUUGUGAACAAAAAAAUUCUGUUUCAUAAUUUUCCUAGCAGAGUCGCGUACACAGGAUCUUGUUGCAAUUUGUUUUUUGUUAUGAAUGAAGGUUCCCCCCCCCCUCCACACGUGUGAAUUUUAGGAAUGUGUAUCUUUAGAGUACUAUUAAACGUGACGAAAUUUUCGCUGAUGGACAACGGUAACUUUUGGCGAAGGUUUCCAGUUGCCCUGGGGUACUUCCGUUUUGCCUUUGCCCUCUAGGGGGCACUAAUAUAUAUAUAUAUAUAUACAUAGAAAUAUUGAAUAUCAAUUAGAAUCUCUGUCAAGCAGAUGUUUCUCUAUUUAUAAACACUGAAAGCGUUCUAAAUAAAGUACCAUAGUGAAUUUCUAGUCAAGCAGUUAGUCCCAUAUUAUUCUUGUAGUGUCCUAAAAAAAACUUUUGAUUACCACAAUGUAGCAGCAAAUACUCAUCUACAAACUUAUAUUCGUGAGCGAAGUAAAUAUCUUAAGAUGUACAAUUUUUAUUCUAUUCAUAUAUAACUUUUUAUUUCAUUUUUCUAAGAAAAAAUCUUCAAGAUGUUUUAAAUAGAUAUACUAGUUAGUUAAUUUUGAGUUUGUUGUAUCAAUUCUUAAACCAUCUUACUAUUGCUAUCAAUUUUUAAUUUUAUGUAAGAAAAGUGAUUUCCAUGUCAAAAAAACAGCUGGUGUGGUUCUUGCAUUUUAUAGCAAAGAAUCGACGCUGGGGAGAGUUGGACAGGUUUUUGCUGCGACGAGCUGCUCAAGCCAAUUAGGGCUUGGAAGUAGCAUCAUCCGAUGGAUGAAUGGUGUUGCGAGAAGCGUUGGAGGGCAAGCAGUGUGGCAACAGAAGCAGCAGCAACAAAGGUUCUUUAGUACCAGAGAAGGAUUUACUGUUAAGACAAGAAUGUGGCACAAUAAAAGUCUUGAAAAUAUUUGAGACCAACCGCAUUAAACAUUUGUUACUCACUAGGGAAAAACUGCACCUUUCGAGCAAAAGACCAGUGAUUGUUGAAAUUCUCCCUUGGUCUUGACUCACACCUACCUAAGCAUGUCAAAAUAGCAAUAAUAUUUCAAAUAAUUUUCAUUGUAACGA